CCCUUAGUUGUCCUGGGCCGCACGCGCGCUACACUGAGUGUCUGAGAUACGAGUCUGCCUGGUCCGGCAAGGUCUAGGUAAUCGCUAAAAGACACAUCAUGCUUGGGAUAGAUUAUUGCAAAUAUUAAUCUUGAACGAGGAAUUCCUAGUAAGCGCAAGUCAACAGCUUGCGUUGAUUACGUCCCUGCCCUUUGUACACACCGCCCGUCGCUACUACUGAUUGGAUGUUUAAGCGAGGUUCUCGAACUGCUAGCGACUUAGCUUCGGUGAGGUCGCAGUGUGGGAAGUGAACCUAGCUUUGGUGUCUAGAGGAAGUAAAAGUCGUAACA
rnacentral:rRNA from 1 species